CCUACGGGAGGCAGCAGUGAGGAAUAUUGGUCAAUGGGCGAGAGCCUGAACCAGCCAAGUCGCGUGAGGGAAGACGGUCCUAUGGAUUGUAAACCUCUUUUGCCGGGGAGCAAAAAGCGGUACGUGUACCGCAUCGAGAGUACCCGGAGAAAAAGCAUCGGCUAACUCCGUGCCAGCAGCCGCGGUAAUACGGAGGAUGCGAGCGUUAUCCGGAUUUAUUGGGUUUAAGGGGUGCGCAGGCGGCGGGUUAAGUCAGCGGUAAAAUUUCGGGGCUAAACCCCGACGAGCCGUUGAAACUGGCGUGCUAGAGUGGGCGAGAAGUAUGCGGAAUGCGUGGUGUAGCGGUGAAAUGCAUAGAUAUCACGCAGAACUCCGAUUGCGAAGGCAGCAUACCGGCGCACAACUGACGCUCAGGCACGAAAGCGUGGGUAUCGAACAGGAUUAGAUACCCGAGUAGUC
rnacentral:rRNA from 1 species